UACGUAGGGGGCUAGCGUUGUCCGGAUUUAUUGGGCGUAAAGAGCGUGUAGGCGGCCAGGUAGGUCUGCUGUGAAAACUCGAGGCUCAACCUCGAGACGUCGGCGGAAACCAUCUGGCUAGAGUCCGGGAGAGGGAUGUGGAAUUCCAGGUGUAGCGGUGAAAUGCGUAGAUAUCGAGAGGAACACCUGCGGCGAAGGCGGGUUGCUGGGCCGACACGUGACGCUGAUGCGCGAAAGCCAGGGGAGCGAACGGG
rnacentral:rRNA from 1 species